UACGUAGGUGGCAAGCGUUGUCCGGAAUUAUUGGGCGUAAAGCGCGCGCAGGCGGUCUUUUAAGUCUGAUGUGAAAGCCCACGGCUCAACCGUGGAGGGUCAUUGGAAACUGGGAGACUUGAGUGCAGAAGAGAAGAGUGGAAUUCCACGUGUAGCGGUGAAAUGCGUAGAGAUGUGGAGGAACACCAGUGGCGAAGGCGACUCUUUGGUCUGUAACUGACGCUGAGGCGCGAAAGCGUGGGGAGCAAACAGGAUUAGAUA
rnacentral:rRNA from 1 species